rnacentral:rRNA from 1 species
UACGGGGGGGGCAAGCGUUGUUCGGAAUUACUGGGCGUAAAGGGCUCGUAGGUGGCCAACUAAGUCAGACGUGAAAUCCCUCGGCUUAACCCGGGAACUGCGUCCGAUACUGGCAGGCUUGAAUUCGGGAGAGGGAUGUGGAAUUCCAGGUGUAGCGGUGAAAUGCGUAGAUAUCUGGAGGAACACCGGUGGCGAAGGCGGCAUCCUGGACCGAUAUUGACGCUGAUGCGCGAAAGCCAGGGGAGCAAACGGG